GACGAACGCUGGCGGCGUGCUUAACACAUGCCAGUCGAACGGAAAGGCCCUGCUUUUGUGGGGUGCUCGAGUGGCGAACGGGUGAGUAACACGUGAGUAACCUGCCCUUGACUUUGGGAUAACUUCAGGAAACUGGGGCUAAUACCGGAUAGGAGCUCCUGCUGCAUGGUGGGGGUUGGAAAGUUUCGGCGGUUGGGGAUGGACUCGCGGCUUAUCAGCUUGUUGGUGGGGUAGUGGCUUACCAAGGCGAUGACGGGUAGCCGGCGUGAGAGGGUGAUCGGCCACACUGGAAGUGCGACGCGGGCCGGGUGCCUACGGGCGGCAGCAGUGGGGAAGAUUGGACAAUGGGCGCAAGCCUGAUCGAGCCAGACUGCGUGGGUGACGGAGGCCUUCGGGGGGUAAAGCCCGUUUGUUGGGAAAGAAAAGCAGCAGGUUAAUACCCCGCUGUUCUGACGGGACCCAAAGAAUAAGCAACGGCUAACCUCGUG
rnacentral:rRNA from 1 species